AACGAACGCUGGCGGCAGGCCUAACACAUGCAAGUCGAACGAACCUUUUAGGUGAGUGGCGCACGGGUGCGUAACGCGUGGGAAUGUACAUCUCGGUAAGGAAUAACUGCUGGAAACGGUAGCUAAUACCUUAUAAUGACUCCGGUCCAAAGAUUUAUCGCCGAGGAAUCAGCCCGCGUCAGAUUAGCUUGUUGGUGAGGUAAAAGCUCACCAAGGCGACGAUCUGUAGGGGGUCUGAGAGGAUGAUCCCCCACACUGGUACUGAGACACGGACCAGACUCCUACGGGAGGCAGCAGUGAGGAAUAUUGGACAAUGGGGGCAACCCUGAUCCAGCCAUGCCGCGUGAGUGAAGAAGGCCUUAGGGUUGUAAAGCUCUUUCAAUAGUGAAGAUAAUGACGGUAGCUAUAGAAGAAGCUCCGGCUAAAUUCG
rnacentral:rRNA from 1 species